AUGCUCUGGUUUCUCUUCAGAUCGUAUAAAUCUUUCGCCUUUUACUAAAGAUUUCCGUGGAGAGGAGCACUCAGAGUUUGAAGUAAUUUUUUGUGGCCCUACCUUAGUGGGGCU